GGAGAGAGUAAGCUGGCUACGCUGGCUACUAAGGAGGAUGGAGUGUGGUGGCCAUCGUCAGUCUGCUACAGCAGCACAACAUCAUCAAUCAUUGUGGGACAAUAUGGGUACAACAUCCUGGUGUUCAGAGUGGAAUAGUGUGUACAUUUGCUGCUGAGUCAGGACAACGAUGCUGAGGAUGUGGUGGACAAGAAUGACCUGAAUAUGCAGAAGGACAGCACCACCAUUGAUAUCGAGUUGGCCCAGCAACAGCACCAGUCCGGCCUGCAGGAGCCCCAGACCAGGACGACCCAUCCACUCCCCUGACCCAUAGCUCAUCAUACUUGAUAUCCGGAAAAAUGGGGCCUAAUGCAUGUGCUUAAAUUGUUGUCACAGAUAAGCCUGUGCAGUUUGCACAGGCUAAUAAUGGACAACACUUUCCUCUUAAAGCAGAGCACCAGCAUUGAUCUCGAGUUGGCCCAGCAACCUCAGCAGUCCAGCCUGCAGGAGCCCCAGUCCAGAAUGACACUUCCCCUCCCUUGACUUCUAACUCCUCCCCCUUGACCUCCUGCCUCAAAAAGUCAGCAUCGUUGAACAACUCUGUUCUUCAGGAAAUUCUGAGCAUGAUUCUGUUCUGACAAACGCAAUGUCCACGUCACGUUUUCCAAACAUAAGCCUGGGUAGUUUUGUUAAGCUAGAGUUCCGCGUGGGUCUGAAAGGGAUGAGUGUUACAGACACGAAAAGUUAUAGCAGUAGUUAUGGUAAUGCUAACAGUCAGUUGUUGCUGUUGGACAUCAGAACAAAUAUCAUGAAAAAUAAAAAGUUCAAUAACUUGUUCCAAUCUUUAUGGGACAAACAGAAAUUGAACAGGAGAAAAUCAAGGAAUAAUAAAAGCGUAAGCUUU